GUACGUGUAGCUCAGCCUGGUUAGAGCGCGACGCUGCCAAGGUCGAUACGCGGGUUCGAAUCCCGCCACGUACU
rnacentral:tRNA from 1 species